rnacentral:rRNA from 1 species
AACGAACGCUGGCGGCGCGUCUUAAGCAUGCAGUCGAACGGCAAGAGAGGAGCUUGCUUCUCUCCUAGAGUGGCGGACUGGUGAGGAACACGUGGGUAAUCUACCCUUAAGAUGGGGAUAGCUGCUAGCAAAUAGCAGAUAAUACCGAAUACACUCGAUAUUUCAUAAGAGAUUUUGAGGAAAGGAAGCUACGGCUUCGCUUAAGGAUGAGCUUGCGUCCCAUUAGCUUGUUGGUGAGGUAACGGCCCACCAAGGCGACGAUGGGUAUCCGGCCUGAGAGGGUGAUCGGACACAUUGGGACUGAGAUACGGCCCAAACUCCUACGGGAGGCAGCAGCUAAGAAUAUUCCGCAAUGGACGGAAGUCUGACGGAGCGACGCCGCGUGGAUGAAGAAGGCUGAAAAGUUGUAAAAUCCUUUUGUUGAUGAAGAAUAAGGAGAAGAGGGAAUGCUUCUCUGAUGACGGUAAUCGACGAAUAAGCCCCGGCUAAUUACGUGCCAGCAGCCGCGGUAACACGUAAGGGGCGAGCGUUGUUCGGAAUUAUUGGGCGUAAAGGGCAUGUAAGCGGUUAUGUAAGCCUGAUGUGAAAUCCUGGGGCUUAACCCCAGAAUAGCAUUGGGUACUGUAUAACUUGAAUUACGGAAGGGAAACUGGAAUUCCAAGUGUAGGGGUGGAAUCUGUAGAUAUUUGGAAGAACACCGGUGGCGAAGGCGGGUUUCUGGCCGAUAAUUGACGCUGAGAUGCGAAAGUGUGGGGAUCGAACAGGAUUAGAUACCCUGGUAGUCCACACCGUAAACGAUGUACACUAGGUGUUGGGGCAAGAGCUUCAGUGCCAAAGCAAACGCGAUAAGUGUACCGCCUGGGGAGUAUGCCCGCAACGGGUGAAACUCAAAGGAAAUUGACUGGGGGCCCAGCACAAAGCGGGUGGAGCCAUGUUGGUUUAAAUUUCGAUCG